CACGUAGGGGGCAAGCGUUGUCCGGAUUUAUUGGGCGUAAAGAGCUCGUAGGCGGUUCGCUAAGUCGGGUGUGAAACCUCCAGGCUCAACCUGGAGACGCCACCUGAUACUGGUGUGACUCGAGUCCGGUAGGGGAGCGUGGAAUUCCUGGUGUAGCGGUGAAAUGCGCAGAUAUCAGGAGGAACACCAGCGGCGAAGGCGGCGCUCUGGGCCGGAACUGACGCUGAGGAGCGAAAGCGUGUGUAGCAAACAGG
rnacentral:rRNA from 1 species